GGCGGUGUAGCUCAGUGGUAGGGCACAUGCUUUGCAUGUGUGAGGCCCCGGGUUCGAUCCCCGGCACCACCA
rnacentral:tRNA from 1 species